AUUGAACGCUGGCGGCAGGCCUAACACAUGCAAGUCGAGCGGAUGAAGGGAGCUUGCUCCUGGAUUCAGCGGCGGACGGGUGAGUAAUGCCUAUGAAUCUGCCUGGUAGUGGGGGAUAACGUCCGGAAACGGGCGCUAAUACCGCAUACGUCCUGAGGGAGCAAGUGGGGGAUCUUCGGACCUCACGCUAUCAGAUGAGCCUAGGUCGGAUUAGCUAGUUGGUGGGGUAACGGCCUAACGAGGCGACGAUCCGUAACUGGUCUGAGAGGAUGAUCAGUCACACUGGAACUGAGAAACGGCCCAGACUCCGACGGGAGGCAGCAGUGGGGAAUAUUGGACAAUGGGCGAAAGCGUGAUCCAGCCAUGCCGCGUGUGUGAAGAAGGUCUUCGGAUUGUAAAGCGCUUUAAGUUGGGAGGAAGGGCAGUAAGUUAAUACCUGGCUGUUUUGACGUUACCAACAGAAUAAGCACCGGCUAACUUCGUG
rnacentral:rRNA from 1 species